AAGCCCAAGGAAAUCUACAGGAAGCCACUGAGACUGUCCACUCACUGCUCUGGAGACAAGAAAAGGCAAAAGGUGUAAGGGCCUCAUUCCAGCCCUCCACACCACAGAGACGUGACUGUGUCACAUCUGCACUGCACUCUCUCUUUCAUUGUGCUACCAAGAGCGUUCUGCUGUGUGCUGAGAGUCUCGCCAAGGAAAAGGUUUCUUGAGCUGGGAAAAAUGAUCUUCACCAUGGCUGUGCCAGCAUGUGUCCUGCUAAUCCAGUCAGCUUUUAGUUUACAAGUCAGAUGUAUGCCAAAGGAGCAACAGGACUCUGACUGCAGCAUAGCAUGGCGUGAAGGGCUCUGGGCACAGCUGAGGCUGCAGGAGGGCUGCGAGUCCCCGGGGACUCCGUGAGCCUUUCCUGCCACUUG